GAUGAACGCUGGCGGCGUGCCUAAUACAUGCAAGUCGAACGCAGUGGGGACGGGUGAGUAACACGUGGGUAACCUCCCAUCAGAGGGGAUAACACUUGGAAACAGGUGCUAAACCGAUACUGAUGGAUGGACCCGCGGUGCAUUAGCUAGUUGGUGGGGUAACGGCUCACCAAGGCCACGAUGCCUAGCCGACCUGAGAGGGUGAUCGGCCACACUGGAACUGAGACACGGCCCAGACUCCUACGGGAGGCAGCAGUGGGGAAUCUUGGGCAAUGGGCGAAAGUCUGACCGAGCCACGCCGCGUGAGUGAAGAAGGUUUUCGGGUCGUAAAGCACUGUUGUUGGGGAGGCGGUAACCAACCAGAAAGCCACGGCUAACUACGUGCCAGCAGCCGCGGUAAUUC
rnacentral:rRNA from 1 species